rnacentral:lncRNA from 1 species
UCAUUUAUUGUUCCAAUUCAAUUAUGUAUAUAAAUUUUGACGUAUGUAGUUGUGCUACAUAAUAUAUUUCAACGUUUACUUUAUGCAAUUGUAGUGGAAAAGAGAAUAACUUGUUAAGUCGCGGUUGAGGCUUCUCUGUGGUGGAUUCUCUUCUCCCCUACAGCCGAGGAUAAGGAUUUUAUUCCGUAAUCACCGAGGGUCGAGAGAACAGAGAUUUAAGGGAGAGGGCGGCUGAAUUGAUCAGAGUUUGGCAAGCGAUGAAAACGCGAUGGAACGAUACUUGAAACAAUGAAAGUCAUAAAACUGUUUUCGACGACAGUUUGACUCGUACGUGGUAUGAUUAGAAAACUCGUUAACAUGAUGUAUCGGUGAGUUGCAUAGCUUUUUUAUGGUGCCGCCAAAAAAAUUGAACUUUCCCGCCGUGAUCGCUUCUCCAGUGUCGAUAUUAAAAAUAUGGCCCGUGUCAAGGGGUUGAUCCAAAUACUUUAUUAAUAUCUGUAUCGAAAUACUUAAAAAAAAGACAAUGGUACGACAAAUACUAUUAAAAAACAUUAUAUGCAGAUUACCUCAACUUACGUUAUGCAAUAAUUUUUAUCGCCAUUCGUGGUAUUCUAGAGAUUGCAUUGUAUCGAAAUAUGAUUACGUUGCAGGUCUCGCUUUCAGGUAACGUCGAGAGAAAAUAAGGGGUAACGAAAGUCUCAUCUCGCGCGUGUCGAGAGGAACUGGAGGCCGAGAAGAUUCGUAACAACGAGCAACGUGUAAUUAUCAUUCACUAGUGAACCGCGUGGCGCGUUUAUCGAUUCACCUCCUCGGAGGGAUCAGAAGGGCACGUCAGCGCGCGAUUCACAAAGGCCGCGAGGGGCCGAGCAUCGCGUACCUCCCCAGGUACCACGACUCUUUUUUCGCGCGUUCCACGUAGACAAAAAAUGUGGCACACAAACUUUCUUCCGCCACCACCCCCGCGUAUCGCGCACCCCGCCGGUCAACCCGCGGUCGAUGCCGGGCCGAGCAAUGGUGGUCGUUUAUAGUUUCUUUAGUUUCUUCAAAAAGAAUGACGUGUUCAUCGGCUAUGUAUAGUGACACGGCGACAUUAACGUUAAAGUAUCACAUAUGGCGUCACAUUAUGAUACGUCUCGACGCCGCAAUAUCCGGACAAAAUCGCCGAGACCUCCCCUUUUCGAAAAGUGCCCCCUUGCCGGAAAAGUUCCUCGCGGGCAACGACGUCGCGAAUUCUGUUCUCGCGAUUUUCUGUCCUAGGAUCGUUCGGGGUGGUCGUCCGGAAUUCUCCCCCUUAGCUGGAUCCGCGCGAGGAUUCCCGAUAUCGAUAUCGCGCGGCAGCCGCGAAGAAAAGUUCGCCACCCUGUCCCGGUACGUGCCCCGGCGAAUCGAUCGCGCACCAGUGCGAGCUCUAAUGCAACCCUAAAGCACAAUUAAACCAAAAAUCCAUUGUCGCGCAAUAUUCUUGCCGGGACGAGAAUAUUUUCUCCCCAUAAUCGACUUGCAUUUAUCGGAGGAAAAGGGGUUCCUGCUGAAAUAACGUAGAUGAAAUACUAUACGGAAAACGCGAUUAUAUUCUUUAGUCCUUCUUCAUAUCCUCUCAUCUGAGAAUUUCCCUCUCAUCUGUUACUGCCCAUCCCCACCCUUAAGAUUUUUAGUUUGGCACAGUUUUAAUUCUUGAGAAUUUCUCGUUCUAGAUUAUCUGACUCCAAAGACGCCACCUCCAAAGUCAUAUCAAUCCUGAAGAUUGUAUUUUUACGGAUAAAAUCAAUGCAGAUCCGUCUACAUCAGUGAUUACAGUCUUUCUACGGGCCUGACUAACUAAAUCGAACCGCAAAAGGCUUCAACGUACAACAUGACGCUCUCGAUCGUUCCUGAACACGAAAGGGCGAAACGAGACGAGACCGAGAGCAGACGACAAAGAGUCGAUGACAAGAGGGGCAACGCCGGGAUCCGCUCGAGGCUUGUUAAUUUAAUGGUGGCGAUGGUGCAAGCGCCGGCUACGCCGCGGCAACGAGUCGGUAACAUUACCGUUUCUACCUUGGGGUUCUAUUACCCUUAUUGUUAAACUUAGAGUUACUGCGAACUACGGAGUGAACUAUAGACCGCUUCUGUGUUGUCGCAACACUCGCGGGCGACUGCAGCGGGCCACGUGGCUGCAGGUGUGUGGCCCCGCGGGGACGCGUGUGCGAGCUGCUCGUCAAGCGCCGUCGACGAACGGAGGGUGCGUUCCGGCCUUUCGUCAACCCCGCGUGAAAUUUCGAUCAAGCGCGAUCCCAUUGAUCGGGAGGGUGGCUGAGGGAUACUCGACCACCCCCUCGGAGUCGUUCCCCUGGCGGCCUCGAAAAUUCGCCGUGUCGCGUUCAUUGACGCGGUCGACCGGAAGAGGCCCCCUGGUCGCGAUUUCUCGCGCAAUUACGUGCACGAAUCGCGUCGUACGGACGCGACGAUCAACCCCGAACUAGGCGAAACUACGGAAGCGAGACUGAAGUGACGCGGUGAAUAAUGCAACGGCAUCGUGAGGCAGGGAGUCACGAGUACGACGAACCCCUUGAAAUUUUGCGAUCGGUCAACCGUUGCAGCGUUUUAAGCGCUUCUAAUUAGAACUAAAACAAUUGUUUAUGUGGCUUACGAUGAUCCCAGCUUGGUCGACGAAUUUGCAUAAAUAAUCUCGGGGAAACUGUCGAAAUUAAUAGCCGACUAAUUGACGUCGUUACGCAAAUUGCGUCUGCACAAGUAUUCAGGAACAUUGUAUGCAAGAGCGACAAGUAGACGCGUUUGUCACAGGCUACGGCAUAAAUGGGAUUUAUCACGAUGAAACUACGUGUCGUUACCGGAGAAGUAACGCAACACGCGCGAAUAGAUUAAUUCCGAAGUCGCACACCGCGGUUGUUACGAUACGUUGUAUUCAAUAUAUUGCAUCGGGCACAUCGUGUACGGCGAACAUGCGACGUGUUGUUCGGUGUUUCGUGCAACUCGUCCCCCGUUAUCGGAGGCCAAACUUAUUGCAACUCCAGUCUAUCGCCAGCCCCAUUCCAUGUACUUGUUACUUAAUACACGCGCCCACACUUGAGUUACACACAGUGUUGUUCGCUUGCUAUCGCGAUAUAAAAUACAAAGCGCGGGUCCUCCCAGGCUUAUGACAAAUCCGCUUCGCUGUGCGAUCCGAUAAACAAUGAAAAAUACACGUAUCGUUAUUUCUUGUUGAUUUAAGAAAAACUAACAUUAAAAGUUUUGAGAGACGACCAACAGCUUUCAAAUAAAAUUUCGAAGAAUGUAUUUAUUAUUCUCCUUGGAAUUUAUAGGUAUAUUUAUUUAUGGUUCUUGGAAUUUUGAAGAAUGAAUUUAUUCUAAACAUAUAGAGCAGAGAGGAAGAGAGAGAAUCUGUACCUAGAGUACUUUUUGGCAGAAUCCUCCAUCUUACACUGGUUCGGCAGCCUACAAUCGCAGACAUGUACAUGCAUACAACACGUAGAAAAUUGAUAUCCACCAUUGACGAUGUACGAUCGCACAAAAGAAUAUUAGAAUCUUUAAUAAUGAAUAUUUUGCAGCACGUGAGCUGCAGCAAGCAAGCAUCGAUCGAUCAUCGUGGAGCAACGAGUAAAUGCGAGCACGCGGAUGAUUCCUCUGCGGAUGAAGAGGAGCAAGCUACACUAAUUCGAGGGAUGAUCAUCAGACGCGAUCGAUAGACAACGAAAUAAACGGCGGCUAUCUUUCUCCGGUCUGUACCGAUACGGCGAAGCGAUCGUUAUUAAGGCGUAUCGUGAAAACUUUCGGAAAAACUUUGCUCGAGUGACUGGGUCAUCCAAUCAGACGUGGAAUCACAAACGUGGUAGUGAAUGAAAAAAAGGAAAAAUCAUGCAAUUACGAUGUCGACCCGUGUUACAUCGUCGGUUCUGGAUUUCCAUAAUUUCCAUGAAUUAUCGCCGACUGCUCGUUGGAUCGAGCUUCGUGGUUCGCGUUUAUACAUCCGUAACACAGAACUGCCUGCAACUACGAAACGUCGCAUUAUCAUUGUCGAGCAUUUUUCUAAUGUUUGGUUUUCCAAAGAUUGGGCCCAUUAGAUGUCCAACGAUUGAAAGUUUAGAACGAGGAUACUUGUGUGCCUCGAAUCAUGAUAAAAUAGACGCCGUGCAAUGAAAAACUGUAUAGCUGGUAGCAAAUUAAAUGUAAUUAUGCAUAAUCCUGUGAUUAUUAAUUCUAUGCAUCUGUCUGUUAUUUAUUUUGAAGAAUAAAAAUCUGAUUUUCAAACAUU